UCUUUGUGAAUCCACCGUCCGAUCCCUUGUUCUCCCCCGCUCCAUCCCGAGUCCCGACCCCUCUCUUGCGCCUCCACCCAGAUCCCCAUCCCCCUCCCGUACGGAGCAGCUAGGGCUCUGUCUGCCCCCCGCCCCAGCCGCCUCACGUCUUGCCGCGGCAACUAACAACCCGAGCACCGCCAAGUCGCUCGUCGUCCUCCUUCUGGAGCGCCUACAGCCCGAUGUCUUCUUGGAUCGCCGCUGAUGACCUUUCCCAUCCGGUCGCAAGAGCGCAAGGGAGGGGCACCUCUGACGCGGACGGGAGAGUAGGGGCUGCGACCUCGUGGCGGCGGCCACGAUGGUCAUCUUGUUGGGACAGAGAGCACCCCGCCGCAUCAUGGCGCACAGCCAGCUGCCGGCCUGGAUGCAAGGAAGGUCGAAUGGUGUUCGAGGUGCCGAGCAGGCCGCGGUAUUUGGUGGAGACGCUCGAGAUGGAGGUUGGCGAGAGGUGGAGGAGAAGCAAGGGGUGGCACUGGGCCGUUUCUGGGGGGUGCUGCGUGGAAGGUGGAGGCCUGAAUGAAGGAGGCGCUGGGGGCGGCGCUCACGAGGAGGAAGCCAUGGGAUGAUCGGCCGGGAUGGGAAAUCAUGUUCUGGUGCUAGCUUUUUUAUAUCUGAAUUCUGCUGGUACCUAUUUGUGUAUGAGAGAUCGAGACAGAGGGCUGCGAGAGAUUGAGAGUUUCUUACUUACUUUGCUGCUGGUAAAUAAAGCCGAGGAUGAUUCAGAGCAGUCGAAGCUGAGGGCCAUUAUCACCCACAAACCCACCAUCAAGUGGAAUGACAUCGGGACAACUUCCACAAGGAUGGUCUGAUGGGCGUCCAUAUCCAGAAGUUCAAAAAAUCAUUCACAAUCACAUAUAUCUACGCCCUCAAGGCCCCAAGAGCUUGCAGAAUCUGUGGUAGCUUGCAAUGGCUGGGUCGAGAGGAGAUGCGCAAUUCAUAUGAUGAAAACUGCAUUUCCAAUUCUAUGUUUGGAGUUGAGAAAAAAAGUUAGUUAAGAUACAUAAUUUGGCAUUGUAUAUGUACAAGUAAAUUUGAUUAUGAAACGAUUUAUCAUUUCAUGUAUUUUGAUGUUUUUGGCACUUGCAUUUAUAAUGUCGAAUUAAUUUGUGCACAACAAAGUUAUUUUUAUCAUUGCGAUUAAUCCAAUGCAUAGAUCGUGGAGUCGGUGCAAUGAAAGGAGGGGACGGGCGGCUGGAUUUCUGGAGUGUAGCCGAGACAGGUUAAAAGAGGAGCGGGCAGGAUGCGUGGUGGUUGUGGAGGAUGACGUUGGUAUGAGACAGAGCACGUCUCCCUCGUUAGAAGCAUGUCUCCCGGCAUGCAAAUGUAGGACUCGACAUGCACUUCUUCAGCAUGGGUGAACCAUGGAGGCGCGGGAAGCCGGUGUGAACAAUCUGCUACAACACAUGCGGCUCGUUCAUGGUGAGUGGUGACCCCAAACUUGAGCGACAUGAGCAUGAACUCUCUCUUGAAGCACUCCAUCUCCGAGGUUAGUUCUCAUCGAAGUUCAAGCUAAGGAACAUUUUCAAGUAUCUUAUUAUUCGACAUGUUCGUUGAACAUGGCCUUGCCACUAUAGCUUAGGCAAAUCAUUUUAUUAUUAAUCUGUAUUCUUUCAAUGCCUGUUCUAUCUUCAUUUAUCCUGGGAUCAUGCCCACUCUUGUGUCCAUACUUGUGUUUAGUUUUUAGUAUUAUUUCAGUAGUUCUCUUUUCAACUGUUUUCCUUUUCAUGUGAAAAAAGAGGAAUUAGGAGAUCAUGGAACUAUUUAUGAUAGUCAGAAAAAAUAGCCUUUAUCUACAUAUAUGUAUCUCAAAAUUACAUAUUCUGACAUUAUGGCUACAAAACUUCAUUAUAAAUUUCUAUCAUGUUUACUAGGAAGUUCCGGUUAUUUUCUUUUAGUUGAUUAUUUUGGAUUGGUAACGUUUUCAUAUGCUUGUUGGAAUGCAUCAUAGGCAGCAUUUGAUUUUGUUUUGUACUUUUGUUAGUUGUAUGCUUGUAAUGUUGUGCGGAAGUGUAGGUCGUGACACGCCUCUAAGGAUAUGUUGUUGAACAUGGGGUCUGGUAGUUGUUGCUUCUGAAAAUGCCUUUCUGGAUAGUGUAUCUGCCUUAUUUCGCUUGUUCUCCACACUAACUGAUAGAAAAAAGUUGCAAGGCAUCAUUUAUGUGUCUAAGGAAAAAAUGCUUCCCUACAAUAUAUCUACAAUUUAUUAACAAUUGAAUGUUGCUCCUACUUUUUCUACAUAUUGUUGUAGCCAUUAAAAAAUGUGUAGAGUGAAUGCUUCGAACCCAACAGGAGGAAAAAAAUUUAAGUAAGAUUCUGAAUCUUUCAUCUGGUCGUUGUAUUACGGUAGCAGGUACUAGGCGAGAUUUUCUCCCAGCUGCUCAUCCAGCGUGUUUUAUCUUAAGAAAACAAACUCACACAAUAUAGGGUGCUCCUAUUUGUUUUUUUUCUAUUGUGUGGUGACAUCAAAUUAAGAAAGAAAUCUCACAAAAUUACUGAAAAGUUCGAUUGUAUUUUUAUUCUUGCACAAACUUAUUAGUUGAUAGUGUAUUAUUUUCACUGAUUUGCUGACUGUUGAGCUAAAUUAGUUGAUUAUUGGACAUAAACAAACUUAUUAGUUGAUAGUGUAUUUUCAUUCUUGUACAAACUUAUUAGUUGUUCAGUACAAAGUUACUCUGGAAUAUUGACUACUUUAGCUCAACAGGGUUUAUGCUAUUGCUAUUUUAAUUUUUGCACACUGGAAAUAAGCUACUGUGGUACAGCUGAAAGGGACACUAGAGGGAAGCAAUAUACAUGGAGCCUCUGCCAGGUCGAAAUCGUUUUAAUAUCUAAAACAAACUUGGAAGAUUUUGUUGCAAUAUCUAAUUAGUUAACUCUUCUCUCAAAGGCAACGACAAAGUUAAAAAUAUUUUUCCCACACAGAUUCCUUGUUGUGCAUUGAGCAAUUGAAAUGUAUAUGGGUGUUUAAUGAUUUCUGCUUAGAGAAGGGCCUUGCCCCCAGCCAGCUGAAGUAUUUUCUACUUUUAUACGAUGAUGUGGAUCUCAUGAUUCUCUAAUUCCCAUGUAAAACCCAUUUAGAUGUGAAGUUAUUUGUCACAGUUUUUUCUAUGUUAGCUAGCCCAACUACUCCUUGUUAUUUUUAUUUUGCAACCAGAAUGUGUUCAGGAUUUCAACAAGAUAUGGCACUAGAAUCAUGAAGAUAUGUUAUAGAGCAUUCAAUUAGUGUCAUGUGUUCAUGUAUGCAUGCAUCUUCCUAAUACUGGUUUUGUUAAAAAUAAUAAUUAAUAAUGCUGAAAUUGAUGAGAUAUAUAUAGAGGAUCAACUUCAACCGAUUGCCCGUAUUUUGGACUCAUUUUCGGAACCUGGACGUUUCCUUUAGCUUAUCAUGUGGAGUACAUGUGUGCAGAAGAUCCAGAAGCUGGACUAAGAAGUGACAAGUGCAAACCAUCCAACACUUUCCAAUUAAAAUGAUGUCGUAGUUCAAGUUUAAGCAUUUUGACUACUAUGAUGUCUUCCCUGUAGUUGGAUAUGGAAGAUUAUACUAUAUAUUUUUAUGAAUUUUGAGCACAAAUAUUACUUUCAUGAUGAUAAAUGAUAAAUUGUUUGCUUAAUAUAUUGAUGUAUCAUGCUGAUCUGACUGUUCUUCAAAUUGUUGUAAAGUGUUGUUAUCCAUAUUAUAUUUUGCUUCAACCUGUGUAAGAGCCGCAACAAGAAAUGGGUUUCCAUAUUAUAUUUUGCUUCAACCUGUGUAAGAGCCGCAACAAGAAAUAGGUUUCCAUGUUAUAUUUUGCGUAAGAGCCGCAACAAGAAAUAGGUUGUUGUCGGAUAGGGUAGAGCAUACGAGCCUUCCUUGUCGUGGAUGUAAGUAAGUACACCGUAUUUUUAAUCUCAGCCUGCUCAUGGCAAAUCUCGGUACAUGUGUGUGUAAUUUUUUACAUAUCUAUAAUUUCGAUAUAAUAGAACAAAAUAGGGGAAUUUGUGCUAAUAUAUCUUUGCUUGGCAAAGCAGCAGUUAGAGUAAGAUUUCAACAAAAUUUAUCUGUUGAAAAACUACAUGUUAUUUUCGAAUCAAAUAUAACUGAUUUGGAAUUGUCUGUAUUAUUUUUGAAUCAAAUAUAACUAAUUUGGAUGUGUUUGUUAUUCUCUGGAAUUGUUUGUUAUUCUGUGACAACAUCGGCAAACUCUAAGUUUGUUUUUC